rnacentral:rRNA from 1 species
GACGAACGCUGGCGGCGUGCUUAACACAUGCAAGUCGAGCGGUAAGGCUCCUUCGGGAGUACACGAGCGGCGAACGGGUGAGUAACACGUGAGCAAUCUGCCCUUCACUUUGGGAUAACUCCGGGAAACCGGUGCUAAUACCGAAUGCGACCACUUCAGGCAUCUGACGGUGGUGGAAAGUUCCGGCGGUGAAGGAUGAGCUCGCGGCCUAUCAGCUUGUUGGUGAGGUAAUGGCUCACCAAGGCUUCGACGGGUAGCCGGCCUGAGAGGGUGACCGGCCACACUGGGACUGAGACACGGCCCAGACUCCUACGGGAGGCAGCAGUGGGGAAUAUUGGACAAUGGGCGAAAGCCUGAUCCAGCAACGCCGCGUGAGGGAUGACGGCCUC